UGAUUGUCAGUAAUUCGAACCGUGUCCUCCGGUGAAUUUGGGAGACUGGACGCAGAAACCCCCCCGGCGAGGAAGUCUAGAGACGCGGAGAAGAAACCCCCUGGACAAGCUUGCAACCAAACUGGAAGGCAUCCAGCUGGCAAACUGAGCAGACAGCAGUGGGCUUCACAAAUCAGAGGAGACAGUGAAGGACACUGGGAUAGCCUGUCAAGACACCCACCCCUGCUGGACCAUGGGUAACCAUGCUGGCAAAGACAGCCAUGGCCCUACAGGUUCUCCUUUAGAUUUCUUCCACACGCCUCCUACCACGCCCUCAGAGGCAGAGCUGACUGCCAUGGCCUUAUCCUCCGCAGCUUCCACUAAUAAGGCACAGACGCCAUCACCGACUGACAGCACCACCCCCUCCACCGCCACUCCAGUCGGAGACUGGACACAGAA